AUUGAACGCUGGCGGCAGGCUUAACACAUGCAAGUCGAGCGAGCGGCGGACGGGUGAGUAAUGUCUGGGAAACUGCCUGAUGGAGGGGGAUAACAACUGGAAACGGUAGCUAAUACCGCAUACCAUCAGAUGUGCCCAGAUUGGCUGAGCUAGUAGGUGGGGUAAUGGCUAACCUAGGCGACGAACCCACGCUGGACUGAGAGGAUGACCAGCCCCACUGGAACUGAGACUCGGUCCAGCCUCCUACGGGAGUCAGCAGUGGGGAGUAUUGCACAAUGGGCGCAAGCCUGAUGCAGCCAUGCCGCGUGUGUGAAGAAGGCCUUCGGGUUGUAAAGCACUUUCAGCGAGGAGGCGUUACUCGCAGAAGAAGCACCGGCUAACUCCGUGCCAGCAGCCGCGGUAAUUC
rnacentral:rRNA from 1 species